rnacentral:rRNA from 1 species
AUGUUCCCCAACCUCAAGCUGCUCGACCUAACGGGGGAAUACGAGCACCUGGAAAACGACGACACGCAAUUGGCAAUGGCGAGGCUGCUCGGCUCUUGCCCGGUCAUGUCUGAACUCCGGCUUUGGUUGAAAAUGAAGCCAGGCCAACGCCACCGGCAGUCAAAGAAUGAUCCACCUGGAGGGGCCUUCGCCGUAUCCAUGGACCGAUUCAACAGGCUCGCCUCCAUGGCUUACGUGCAAGGUGGUAAUAGCAUCAAAGGUUCCCUGCAAGAUCUCAGAGCUCAACGCCUUGGGCAGCUGCACCCUCAGUUGUUUGAGCAAGGUGACGUUGCGAUUUGA